GCGAACGCUGGCGGCGUGGAUUAGGCAUGCAAGUCGAACGGGGUCGUGGCCGCAAGGUUACGACUCAGUGGCGAAAGGGCGAGUAAUACAUCGAUCAUCUGCCCCAGGGACCGGAACAACACUUGGAAUCGAGUGCUAAUACCGGAUGGUCCAGCAAUGGUAAACGGUGGGGACCGCAAGGCCUGCCGCCCAGGGAGGAGUCGAUGGCCUAUCAGCUAGUUGGUGAGGUAACGGCUCACCAAGGCUAAGACGGGUAGCCGGACUGAGAGGUUGGUCGGCCGCACUGGGACUGGGACACUGCCCAGACUCCUACGGGAGGCUGCAGUCGAGGAUCUUCCGCAAUGGGGGCAACCCUGACGGAGCGACGCCGCGUGCAGGAUGAAGGCCUUCGGGUCGUAAACUGCUGUCACACGUUAUGAAACUGCACGGAUUAAUACUCCGUGCCCUGACAAAGGCGUGAAAGGAAGCCACGGCUAACUUCG
rnacentral:rRNA from 1 species